GAUGUACGCUGGCGGCGUGCCUAAUACAUGCAAGUCGAACGCAUUGUGGUUGAAAUGAUAUGAAGAACUUGUUCAGAUUUGAUUUUCAACAUUGCAAUGAGUGGCGAACGGGUGAGUAACACGUGGGAAACCUACCUCUUAGCAGGGGAUAACAUUUGGAAACAAAUGCUAAUACCGUAUAAUAAUUAAAACCGCAUGGUUUUAGUUUAAAAGAUGGUCUUGCUAUCACUAAGAGAUGGUCCCGCGGUGUAUUAGUUAGUUGGUGAGGUAAUGGCUCACCAAGACAAUGAUACAUAGCCGAGUUGAGAGACUGACCGGCCACAAUGGGACUGAGACACGGCCCAUACUCCUACGGGAGGCAGCAGUAGGGAAGCUUCCACAAUGGACGAAAGUACUGAUGGAG
rnacentral:rRNA from 1 species